rnacentral:rRNA from 1 species
UACGGAGGAUCCAAGCGUUAUCCGGAUUUAUUGGGUUUAAAGGGUGCGUAGGUGGUUCUUUAAGUCAGGGGUGAAAGACGGCAGCUUAACUGUCGCAGUGCCUUUGAUACUGAAGAACUUGAAUACACUAGAGGUAGGCGGAAUGUGACAAGUAGCGGUGAAAUGCAUAGAUAUGUCACAGAACACCAAUUGCGAAGGCAGCUUACUAUGGUGUCAUUGACACUGAGGCACGAAAGCGUGGGAUCAAACAGG